UAGAGGGGUAUUUAAGUCAUUUUCUUUUCAUCUUCCCCAAUAUCUGGUCUUUUUCCCUUUUUUCUAUCCUCCAUAACCAACUUCCUCUCUCUUCUCUAUUUCUCUCAUCUCAUUCCCUCUCACAAACCGAAGAUGGUUUCCCUAUUUCUCUCCUCUCCUUCCAUAUUCAUAAACUGAGCUCAUCGACGUGAUAUUGUGAUUCAUAAAUUGCCAUUUGCAGAUAUUCCAAUUUUGUAGAUUAAAUGCCACAAGAAUUUUAGGAUGAAGAGAAACUGGCAUGUUGAAGCAGUUUUUUAGCCAAACUCAAUUUGUUCAUCUCUCUCAAUAUAGCUUUUGAACUCAAUUUGACUUGCUCAAACUACUUUGAUUACUUCAUAUAACAUAUAUAAAGACUUCUUUGUUCACAAACUUGACCAAUUCCCCUUUUUUUGCUUGACCACCUCUAAGAGCCAUAUUAUCAAACAUACUAAAUGCAUUACUUUUAAAAACAGAGUUCAUACAUGUUUAGAUGGAUUCUAACCCAUAAAUUCCACCAUUAUUAAUCUGCACAACGAUUACAACACAUCCUCUUUAAUAAUUUAUAACCCAACCAUAGCAACAAUGAUACACAAGCAAUAAUUAUUCAAUUUUCUAAAAAUAGUUGGGAACAUCAAUAUUACCUUGCACCAAAUUUAAUUUGCUAAAAUUUUAACUUUGCUAAUUAACUUAUAAACUCCCUUUGCUGAUGCUGUUCGAAUUUCCUUCCCAAAUCAAUUUAUAAAUUCAAUUAUUGGCCUUCUUUCUUUGUUUCAGCCGAAACUUAAAAGAACUUGAACAUAGAAAUACAAUUUAGGUAAUUCUUUUAGAGAGAACGAUGUGGAAAGGAACGAAAUUUGGAUAGCAGAAAGGAGACAUGGAACGGGUGGGAGUAUACAUUAAGCUUCUUCUACCAACAGUCUAAUUAUCAGACAUAUGUUGUUUAGUGUUACUCUCAUACUCCAAGAAACUCAUACUUGCUUUACACUUGGUGGAUGUAUGGUAAACUCAUUAAUCCACCUCCUGCUUGUCUAUUAACUCAGUUUUAAGGACUUAACAUUAAAGAACUUAACAUUUGAAUUAAUC
rnacentral:lncRNA from 1 species